AUUCUACUCCCUCCGUUGCACAAUACAUGCCUUCUAUUUGUCAAAAUAUAUAUGUAUCUAGACAUGUUUUAGUAUAUAGGUACAUCCAUUUUUGGACAAAUGGAAGUCAAGUAUUUUGGAAUGGAGGGGGUACAUA
rnacentral:pre_miRNA from 1 species